CACACAAAAUACCUUUCCUUUUCCAGUGAAUGGCAUUUCUAUGCCUGAAAAGAAAAAACAGUAAACAUAGAAUUUUGAGUCGUUUCUACAAAUGCUGUUAAAAUCUGAGAUCAUUUGAAUGAAAAUUGGUCAAGUUAUUAGAUUAUGAAAUGAUACAAUUUCUUUCUGAAACACUCUGUUGAAGGGCCCGUAGCA